GAAAUGCGAUAAGUAAUGUGAAUUGCAGAAUUCCGUGAAUCAUCGGAUCUUUGAACGCACAUUGCGCCCCCUGGCAUUCCGGGGGGCAUGCCUGUCCGAGCGUCAUUUCUGCCCUCAAGCACGGCUUGUGUGUUGGGUGUGGUCCCCCCGGGGACCUGCCCGAAAGGCAGCGGCGACGUCCGUCUGGUCCUCGAGCGUAUGGGGCUCUGUCACUCGCUCGGGAAGGACCUGCGGGGGUUGGUCACCACCAUAUUUCACCACGGUUGACCUCGGAUCAGGUAGGAGUUACCCGCUGAACUUAAGC
rnacentral:misc_RNA from 1 species